GUAUAGUCAUCCGAGAGGAGGGAACUUCAAUUGAGAAAAUGCCUCCAUAAGAUCAUGAUGAGUUCAAACACAUGAGGUUCAUUCUGCUGAGGGAAGUGAUCUGACGACUCUUCCAACCUUGGAAGAGUGGAGCCGGCAUUUCAGAAGGCAAGAGUUCUCCAGAAGCUACGAGAUGUGAUAUUGCAGCAGAUUUACUACAGCAAGGGAGCAGACUCCAGCUGUGUGAGGCCAAGCCCACGAGGAAGCAGAUUUGCCAAAUGCAGAAUGAUGGCGCUCUCCUUACCAGGUUUUGGUUUUGUUUGGAGACCUUAGUUAUUUAUCAUGAAGUUUGACAUUAUUUUUAAAUUAAUGCUUUCCAAGUUUUCA